rnacentral:rRNA from 1 species
ACGCACGCUGGCGGCGUGCUUAACACAUGCACGUCGAACGGAAAGGCCCUGCUUUUGUGGGGUGCUCGAGUGGCGAACGGGUGAGUAACACGUGAGUAACCUGCCCUUGACUUUGGGAUAACUUCAGGAAACUGGGGCUAAUACCGGAUAGGAGCUCCUGCUGCAUGGUGGGGGUUGGAAAGUUUCGGCGGUUGGGGAUGGACUCGCGGCUUAUCAGCUUGUUGGUGGGGUAGUGGCUUACCAAGGCUUUGACGGGUAGCCGGCCUGAGAGGGUGACCGGCCACAUUGGGACUGAGAUACGGCCCAGACUCCUACGGGAGGCAGCAGUGGGGAAUAUUGCACAAUGGGCGGAAGCCUGAUGCAGCAACGCCGCGUGCGGGAUGACGGCCUUCGGGUUGUAAACCGCUUUCACCUGUGACGAAGCGUGAGUGACGGUAAUGGGUAAAGAAGCACCGGCUAACUACGUG